rnacentral:rRNA from 1 species
GAAUUCGCCCUUAGAGUUUGCUUCUGGCUCAGGAUGAACGCUGGCGGCGUGCUUAACACAUGCAAGUCGAACGGAGUACCCUUGAAGGAGUUUUCGGACAACUGAAAGGACUACUUAGUGGCGGACGGGUGAGUAACGCGUGAGUAACCUGCCUUGGAGUGGGGAAUAACAGCUGGAAACAGCUGCUAAUACCGCAUGAUGCAGUUGAGUCGCAUGGCUCUGACUGCCAAAGAUUUAUCGCUCUGAGAUGGACUCGCGUCUGAUUAGCUAGUUGGUGGGGCAACGGCCCACCAAGGCGACGAUCAGUAGCCGGACUGAGAGGUUGGCCGGCCACAUUGGGACUGAGACACGGCCCAGACUCCUACGGGAGGCAGCAGUGGGGAAUAUUGGGCAAUGGGCGCAAGCCUGACCCAGCAACGCCGCGUGAAGGAAGAAGGCUUUCGGGUUGUAAACUUCUUUUCUCAGGGACGAAGCAAGUGACGGUACCUGAGGAAUAAGCCACGGCUAACUACGUGCCAGCAGCCGCGGUAAUACGUAGGUGGCAAGCGUUAUCCGGAUUUACUGGGUGUAAAGGGCGUGUAGGCGGGGACGCAAGUCAGAUGUGAAAACCACGGGCUCAACCUGUGGCCUGCAUUUGAAACUGUGUUUCUUGAGUACUGGAGAGGCAGACGGAAUUCCUAGUGUAGCGGUGAAAUGCGUAGAUAUUAGGAGGAACACCAGUGGCGAAGGCGGUCUGCUGGACAGCAACUGACGCUGAGGCGCGAAAGCGUGGGGAGCAAACAGGAUUAGAUACCCUGGUAGUCCACGCUGUAAACGAUGGAUACUAGGUGUGGGGGGACUGACCCCCUCCGUGCCGCAGUUAACACAAUAAGUACCCCACCUGGGGAGUACGAUCGCAAGGUUGAAACUCAAAGGAAUUGACGGGGGCCCGCACAAGCGGUGGAGUAUGUGGUUUAAUUCGAAGCAACGCGAAGAACCUUACCAGGGCUUGACAUCCCGCUGACCGGCAUAGAGAUAUGCUUUUCUCUUCGGAGACAGCGGUGACAGGUGGUGCAUGGUUGUCGCCAGCUCGUGUCGUGAGAUGUUAGGUUAAGUCCUGCAACGAGCGCAACCCUCAUAUGUAGUUGCCAUCAUUAAGUUGGGCACUCUGCAUAGACUGCCGUGGUUAACACGGAGGAAGGUGGGGAUGACGUCAAAUCAUCACGGCCCUUACGGCCUGGGCUACACACGUGCUACAAUGGCUAUUACAAAGAGUUGCAAUACAGCAAUGUGGAGCGAAUCUCAAAAAGAUAGUCUCAGUUCGGACUGUGGGCUGCAACCCGCCCACACGAAGUCGGAGUUGCUAGUAAUCCCGAAUCAGCAUGUCGGGGUGAAUGCGUUCCCGGGUCUUGUACACACCGCCCGUCA